AUUGAACGCUGGCGGCAGGCCUAACACAUGCGAGUCGAGCGGAUGAAGGGAGCUUGCUCCUGGAUUCAGCGGCGGACGGGUGAGUAAUGCCUAGGAAUCUGCCUGGUAGUGGGGGAUAACGUCCGGAAACGGGCGCUAAUACCGCAUACGUCCUGAGGGAGAAAGUGGGGGAUCUUCGUACCUCACGCUAUCAGAUGAGCCUAGGUCGGAUUAGCUAGUUGGUGGGGUAAAGGCCUACCAAGGCGACGAUCCGUAACUGGUCUGAGAGGAUGAUCAGUCACACUGGAACUGAGACACGGUCCAGACUCCUACGGGAGGCAGCAGUGGGGAAUAUUGGACAAUGGGCGAAAGCCUGAUCCAGACAUGCCGCGUGUGUGAAGAAGGUCUUCGGAUUGUAAAGCACUUUAAGUUGGGAGGAAGGGCAGUAAGUUAAUACCUUGCUGUUUUGACGUUACCAACAGAAUAAGCACCGGCUAACUUCGU
rnacentral:rRNA from 1 species